UACGUAGGGUGCGAGCGUUGUCCGGAUUCACGGGGUGUAAAGGGAGCGCAUGUGGGUUGGCAAGUCAUUGGUGAAAUUCUCAGGCUCAACCUGGGAACCGCCAAUGAUACUGCUGAUCUUGAGGGCGGGAGAGGAAGACGGAAUUCAUGGUGUAGCGGUGAAAUGCGUAGAUAUCAGGAAGAACACCGGUGGCGAAGGCGGUCUUCUGGCCCGUUACUGACGCUCAUGCUCGAAAGCGUGGGGAGCAAACAGG
rnacentral:misc_RNA from 1 species